rnacentral:rRNA from 1 species
UACGUAGGGUGCGAGCGAUAAUCGGAAUUACUGGGCGUAAAGCGUGCGCAGGCGGCUUUGCAAGACAGAUGUGAAAUCCCCGGGCUCAACCUGGGAACUGCAUUUGUGACUGCAAGGCUAGAGUACGGCAGAGGGGGAUGGAAUUCCGCGUGUAGCAGUGAAAUGCGUAGAUAUGCGGAGGAACACCAAUGGCGAAGGCAAUCCCCUGGGCCUGUACUGACGCUCAUGCACGAAAGCGUGGGGAGCAUACAGG